AUGCACCACGCGUGCACGGCGCUUCUGCAGGGAUCGUCCAGACCCUGCUGACGACUGCUCGUCCGGUCUGUCCGCC
rnacentral:sRNA from 1 species